UUGUAAUGAUGUUUUGAAUUUCUUCAUCUGACUUUUUCUGUAGAAAAAAAAUCGAGCUUUUUAAUACUGAAUUUU